AAGACAAAACAAUGUAAUGUUUUUGUACAUUAGCCCUUAGUAUAGACCACAGUAGGAUGAUUAUCCCAAAAUCUAGCUACAUACAAGAAUAGCUUUUAAUGUGUUACAGUGUGCUAUUUUCUAUAAUA